GGUUAAGCGACUAAGCGUACACGGUGGAUGCCCUGGCAGUCAGAGGCGAUGAAGGACGUGCUAAUCUGCGAAAAGCGCCGGCGAGGUGAUAUGAACCUUUGACCCGGCGAUGUCCGAAUGGGGAAACCCAGUGUGUUCCGACACACUAUCGUUAACUGAAUACAUAGGUUAACGAGGCGAACCGGGGGAACUGAAACAUCUAAGUACCCCGAGGAAAAGAAAUCAACCGAGAUUCCCCCAGUAGCGGCGAGCGAACGGGGAGUAGCCCAGAGUCUGAAUCAGCUUGUGUGUUAGUGGAAGCGUCUGGAAAGUCGCACGGUACAGGGUGACAGUCCCGUACACGAAAAUGCACAGGUUGUGAACUCGAAGAGUAGGGCGGGACACGUGGUAUCCUGUCUGAAUAUGGGGGGACCAUCCUCCAAGGCUAAAUACUCCUGACUGACCGAUAGUGAACCAGUACCGUGAGGGAAAGGCGAAAAGAACCCCGGCGAGGGGAGUGAAAAAGAACCUGAAACCGUGUACGUACAAGCAGUGGGAGCACCUUCGUGGUGUGACUGCGUACCUUUUGUAUAAUGGGUCAGCGACUUAUAUUCUGUAGCAAGGUUAACCGUAUAGGGGAGCCGAAGGGAAACCGAGUCUUAACUGGGCGUUAAGUUGCAGGGUAUAGACCCGAAACCCGGUGAUCUAGCCAUGGGCAGGUUGAAGGUUGGGUAACACUAACUGGAGGACCGAACCGACUAAUGUUGAAAAAUUAGCGGAUGACUUGUGGCUGGGGGUGAAAGGCCAAUCAAACCGGGAGAUAGCUGGUUCUCCCCGAAAGCUAUUUAGGUAGCGCCUCGUGAACUCAUCUUCGGGGGUAGAGCACUGUUUCGGCUAGGGGGCCAUCCCGGCUUACCAACCCGAUGCAAACUACGAAUACCGAAGAAUGUUAUCACGGGAGACACACGGCGGGUGCUAACGUCCGUCGUGAAGAGGGAAACAACCCAGACCGCCAGCUAAGGUCCCAAAGUCAUGGUUAAGUGGGAAACGAUGUGGGAAGGCACAGACAGCCAGGAUGUUGGCUUAGAAGCAGCCAUCAUUUAAAGAAAGCGUAAUAGCUCACUGGUCGAGUCGGCCUGCGCGGAAGAUGUAACGGGGCUAAACCAUGCACCGAAGCUGCGGCAGCGACGCUUAUGCGUUGUUGGGUAGGGGAGCGUUCUGUAAGCCGUUGAAGGUGGCCUGUGAGGGUUGCUGGAGGUAUCAGAAGUGCGAAUGCUGACAUAAGUAACGAUAAAGCGGGUGAAAAGCCCGCUCGCCGGAAGACCAAGGGUUCCUGUCCAACGUUAAUCGGGGCAGGGUGAGUCGACCCCUAAGGCGAGGCCGAAAGGCGUAGUCGAUGGGAAACAGGUUAAUAUUCCUGUACUUGGUGUUACUGCGAAGGGGGGACGGAGAAGGCUAUGUUAGCCGGGCGACGGUUGUCCCGGUUUAAGCAUGUAGGCGGAGGUUCCAGGUAAAUCCGGUACCUUUUAACGCUGAGGUGUGAUGACGAGGCACUACGGUGCUGAAGUAACAAAUGCCCUGCUUCCAGGAAAAGCCUCUAAGCAUCAGGUAACAUCAAAUCGUACCCCAAACCGACACAGGUGGUCAGGUAGAGAAUACCAAGGCGCUUGAGAGAACUCGGGUGAAGGAACUAGGCAAAAUGGUGCCGUAACUUCGGGAGAAGGCACGCUGAUAUGUAGGUGAAGCCCCUGCGGGUGGAGCUGAAAUCAGUCGAAGAUACCAGCUGGCUGCAACUGUUUAUUAAAAACACAGCACUGUGCAAACACGAAAGUGGACGUAUACGGUGUGACGCCUGCCCGGUGCCGGAAGGUUAAUUGAUGGGGUUAGCGGUAACGCGAAGCUCUUGAUCGAAGCCCCGGUAAACGGCGGCCGUAACUAUAACGGUCCUAAGGUAGCGAAAUUCCUUGUCGGGUAAGUUCCGACCUGCACGAAUGGCGUAAUGAUGGCCAGGCUGUCUCCACCCGAGACUCAGUGAAAUUGAACUCGCUGUGAAGAUGCAGUGUACCCGCGGCAAGACGGAAAGACCCCGUGAACCUUUACUAUAGCUUGACACUGAACACUGGUCCUUGAUGUGUAGGAUAGGUGGGAGGCUUUGAAGUGUGGACGCCAGUCUGCAUGGAGCCGUCCUUGAAAUACCACCCUUUAAUGGCUGGUGUUCUAACGUAGACCCGUGAUCCGGGUUGCGGACAGUGUCUGGUGGGUAGUUUGACUGGGGCGGUCUCCUCCCAAAGAGUAACGGAGGAGCACGAAGGUUAGCUAAUCCUGGUCGGACAUCAGGAGGUUAGUGCAAUGGCAUAAGCUAGCUUGACUGCGAGAGUGACGGCUCGAGCAGGUGCGAAAGCAGGUCAUAGUGAUCCGGUGGUUCUGAAUGGAAGGGCCAUCGCUCAACGGAUAAAAGGUACUCCGGGGAUAACAGGCUGAUACCGCCCAAGAGUUCAUAUCGACGGCGGUGUUUGGCACCUCGAUGUCGGCUCAUCACAUCCUGGGGCUGAAGUAGGUCCCAAGGGUAUGGCUGUUCGCCAUUUAAAGUGGUACGCGAGCUGGGUUUAGAACGUCGUGAGACAGUUCGGUCCCUAUCUGCCGUGGGCGCUGGAGAAUUGAGGGGGGCUGCUCCUAGUACGAGAGGACCGGAGUGGACGCAUCACUGGUGUUCGGGUUGUCAUGCCAAUGGCACUGCCCGGUAGCUAAAUGCGGAAAAGAUAAGUGCUGAAAGCAUCUAAGCACGAAACUUGCCCCGAGAUGAGUUCUCCCUGAGACUUUAAGUCUCCUGAAGGAACGUUAAAGACGAUGACGUUGAUAGGUCGGGUGUGUAAGCGCAGCGAUGCGUUGAGCUAACCGAUACUAAUGAACCGUGAGGCUUAACCUU
rnacentral:rRNA from 1 species